GAGAAACUAUUUAGGGGCCCACCUCAGGCCCUGAAACAAAUCUAUGGGGCA
rfam:Mesocricetus auratus contig209171, whole genome shotgun sequence.